CUUCCUAUUUCAUGGUGGAACGAACAUGUAACAUGGCCGUUCGCCGGUUGCAUCGUUGGAUUUUCCAAGUCUUGUAUAUUUAUCUAUUAUUCCCGGUGUUGUUUCAUUAAAGAAGGAAAGAACAAAUUACUGUAUGUAACAUGGUUUUUACUCUACGAAAUUACCUACCAAUCUGUAUGCUGUGUCGGACUGAAAGGCUAUGAACAUGAUUCUCUUCGAUUCAUGUAAUAAUAGAUCCAGUUCAUCUUGCAUACUACAAUUAGACCUAUGUUACACUCAUCUUGAAACAUUUUUACUACUCUUGAAACAGAUUAAAGAAAUCAUAAAUUCUCCCGCCAACCCAGAGGCGGGAGGCAGCUAUGGACGGAUCGCUAUGCGGGAGCAAAGGAUAGAAGAAUUUUAUCAAAAUUCAACUUUUAAACCGCCAUAAACAAACCGACAGGAAAAAAUGGCCGUUGCUAAAAAUAAAGAGAGAUGCAGCUGUUUGUGGAUUGGUGACUUCAUUGAAGUUGGACUGAUGACGUCAUACGUGCCACCUUCAGGAGACGUCAUGAAUUCUUUUGGUUGAUGGCAUCAUAGGAUACUUCUGUUGGUGACAUCACAGAUGUGCAUUCAUCUUCCGGCGUUCUGGGAGAAACUAUUUUGGAAAUAUCACCGAACAGAUUCUGCGCGUUUCACAUGGAAGGAUGGCUUCAAUAUGGUAACGUGUUGCAAAAAAUUUUCACAUUUAUAAGGAUGUAGCAGAGACACUAUCUACUUUACUACUAUGGGGUAUCUACUAUAGUGAGGUCCAUGUUUAUUAAGUCAGCACUUGAUUAACAUUGCUGUUGCUAUCCUUGUCUUUCAUUAGACAAAGUAAAUAGCGCUAUCCUUCUCUAGCUCCACAACGUUGCCAGAUAGGUUUUCAACAAUCUAGAAAUUGCCAAAAUGUUCAAUCUUAAUAUUAUGACAAUUUAUUAAAUCAUUGAAAAAUAUAUUUAUUGAAGAAUAGAAUAUAAUUGAUUAUUAUAGACAAGAAAGAACGAAUAAUAUUACUUCAGAUAUACAGGAAUCAGCUAUCUACUAUAGAAGGCAGUGGCAACGCAGAGAAUCGUCAAUGCUGUUGUCCUAUCUUUCUUCACUGACUUUAUAACGAGGACCUCACUAUGUCUAGAUUUAAUUCCGAAUGUUUGAAGUUUUAUCAUUUCUAUCAUGUUUUCAGAUAGUUUGUAUGUUGCAUAUCAACAUACAUGUAAUUAACUGUAAUUAACAUAUGUUAAUGUUUCAUAUUUUAACAUAUGUUAAUAUUUCGUAUGUUGAAGUUAAUCAUAAUUUAUAAUUAUUAGAAUAAUAUUAUAAUUCAAAUUAUUCGAAUACAGUAAUUGAUUGAAGUCAGACUCUCCAGUCACGUCACAUGUUAUAAUUUUUUUUAUUCAAGCUACGUUUAUGAUAGUUUUCAUUCAUCAUUUCAAUAAAUUCUGGCAUAAAGACAUCUUGAAAUCGAACUUGAAGCAUUUUUCGGGGACGCGACAGUCGAGAACUGCGACAUUUGAGGACUGAUUUCAGUCCUCUAUGGCCUGGCGCAGGCGACAUUUUGUAAGGGUGGGAAAAUGAAAAAAAAACACAAGAAAAGAUCGUACAGGUUUUUGAUAUUUAAAACAAAACAAUAAAUUAUUUAUUACAAAAUUAGAAUUAUAAUUAGAAAUUACGAAAUAAUAAUAAUCACAUGAAUAUUUGAGGGGCUACUCGCUUUGCUGCUAAUGAGGAUUCAAUGUUUGUGGUUAUGAAAAAUUUAAGAACAAUGACUCAGUAGUCACCUACCUUUUUGAAAUAGCUUCCCACUUUGGCAUCCACUGGUAUUUCGCGGCGUUAAUUAUUAAUUAAAAAAUCAAAAUAACUGAUCUAAUGAAAUGGGUUCAGAUCCCGUCCUAUUCAAUAAUACAAUUCUCUUUAAACUGCCCGAACUGCGACAGGAAAACUGUAUUAUAAAACAAGAGCAAAAUCUAUCCCCUUCACCAGAACAGCCGGACUUACUCACAGUCCUAACGAACGAGCUCACACACCCGACCAAAAGAAAAAUUUCGGGUAUUAAAUACAACUCAGUCAAUGCCAAACAUGAAAGCCAUUUCAGUACAUAUUUUUAUCUGUCGAACAAGCGGCACGUUUGUUAUUAAAAACAAAAGAGAAGCUACAUUGAUUUUGACAACAAAUAAAAUGAAAAAUCUUUCUGUCGAUGACAAAAAUUGUUCAAAGACAAAAACACUGUUCAUUAACUUUCUAAAUUAAAACUCUAAAAUCCUGAUCAAUAUGAGAUAAAUAUAUGAUUCAUAUAUGUCCCAUAUGACCAGGUGACAAUUUGAGGACUCUUUAUCCUGAAAGUAUCCAGUUCACUUCAAUACAUGGGAAUUCAGUAAGCUCCAAAGUGCAAACACUUUUUGAUACGUCUUUUCACUUUCUAUUAAUAAUUUUAAAAAUUAUGUUUACAUUAAAACAUGUAGAACUGAGGAACAAGGGUAGUUUUUUCUAAUCUUAUUAUCAUGUCUUCCGUAGAACGCACUGAAAUGCGAAUUUCCUCCAUUUCUUAAACAUAGAUUUGUAAUCUAUAAUGUACUGAGAAUUUGACAUCCAAGUAUCCAAAAGGUAUUUAAGAGUUUGAAGAUUUUGUUUUUUAUGAAUAAGUAACUAAGGUAUAUUUACAGUUGUAAAGUUGCAAUAUUAAUUCAUAAGAUGGAAGGAAUAAUGGGAUACAAGAUAUUACUCAAUUGCUGGUAAAUCCUUAGUAAUUGAAUGAUAAUUCUUUUGGUGGUGUCUGCCAUUCUGAAACUUUGCAAAUUCGGUUAUUGACAUUAACGAGCCUGUGUUCAAAUACCGAACGGCCGAAUUGUUCUUGGCUAUUAUACCCACCAUAUUGGAGCACCGACUGUGCAUAUACAACAUAUAUUAGGCGAGAAAUAUCUUCAUUCAUUAGC